AUUGAACGCUAGCGGGAUGCUUUACACAUGCAAGUCGGACGGCAGCGCGGACUUCGGUCUGGCGGCGAGUGGCGAACGGGUGAGUAAUGUAUCGGAACGUGCCCAGUAGCGGGGGAUAACUACGCGAAAGCGUAGCUAAUACCGCAUACGCCCUACGGGGGAAAGCAGGGGAUCGUAAGACCUUGCACUAUUGGAUCGGCCGAUGUCGGAUUAGCUAGUUGGUGAGGUAACGGCUCACCAAGGCGACGAUCCGUAGCUGGUUUGAGAGGAUGACCAGCCACACUGGGACUGAGACACGGCCCAGACUCCUACGGGAGGCAGCAGUGGGGAAUUUUGGACAAUGGGGGCAAGCCUGAUCCAGCCAUCCCGCGUGUGUGAUGAAGGCCUUCGGGUUGUAAAGCACUUUUGGCAGGAAAGAAACGUAGCGGGCUAAUACCCCGUGGAACUGACGGUACCUGCAGAAUAAGCACCGGCUAACUACGUG
rnacentral:rRNA from 1 species